UACGUAGGGGGCGAGCGUUAAUCGGAAUUACUGGGCGUAAAGCGUGCGCAGGCGGUUCGUUAAGUCAGCUGUGAAAGCCCCGAGCUUAACUUGGGAAUUGCGGUUGAAACUGGCGGACUAGAAUCUGGCAGAGGGGAGUGGAAUUCCACGUGUAGCAGUGAAAUGCGUAGAGAUGUGGAGGAACACCGAUGGCGAAGGCAGCCCCCUGGGCUGAGAUUGACGCUCAGGCACGAAAGCGUGGGGAGCAAACAGG
rnacentral:rRNA from 1 species